rnacentral:lncRNA from 1 species
AUUUUUAAUUUUCCUGAAGGGCUAUCCUCAGAGUGUCCUGCCUCACUGACCUUAUGUCCACUAUGGGCACUGGUGGUUUGAGAAAUGGGUUAUAGUCAUUCUCUCGGAUUUCAGUGGAGCAAAGUUGUAAUUAAUCUUUAGAUUCCAAGGGUUUACCCUACAGACCAAUGAGCAGGCGUCUCCUGUCCAUGAAAGGUGAAGACCUAGAACAGCAUUUCCAAGCUUCCACUGGUGCCUUGGACCAUCAUUCCUGAUUAUAUGAGGCCAGUGGCACAAACACCCCUUAUGCCCACAGGGCUUCCUUCCUCUCCCCUGUUCUUUCCUCUCCCUGAUGGCCAUGGUCAGUUCUUCCCCAAGAGAGGAUGUGAGUGGACUGUGGCACCCCAAGCUCAGCACAUGCCUCCCUCACCCUUGACUCUGCCAACACUAACCAUGAUCUCCACUAAGCAGAGCCAGUCAGCUGAACUUUCUAAACAUUCAGCUUCAUAGCCAUCUCUGACAACCAAACUCAGCACCUGAGACAGUGGAAAGGAGUCAGUUUCUAGCCCACAUUUCAAUGAAAUAUGCAUGGCUUAGAAGCAGCUUGGCCUGGGCAUCAGGAAGGGCUUAGCGGUAGGAUCCAUGUGUCCUUCGGUCACAUGGAUAGUGCACACGUAUUGCUAGUGUUUACCUUGAGAAGGAAUGGGGAGAAGCACACCAGGGGUGUGCAUUAUGCAAUUGAUGUACCCCCUUUGGAGGAAGACUAGAGAAGCCAUUUUUUGUCGAUGUUAAUACACGCCAAACACAGCCCAGGCCUGCCAUGUAGUUAAAGCAGAGAGGAAGGGAAGAUCUCAAAUGAUAAUCCAGACCUACAGGCUGGAAAUGAAUUUCAACUUGUCACCAUAGGCCAGCAUGCAGACCCCCAGUGGGAAAUCAUUAAAUGUGAGCUCUGUGACCUUUGGCCAAUUAUUAGCCUUCCUACUUAUCAAUUUUCUUCCUUCCAAAAAGGUUUGUUUCUAUUUUAAAAUACUCAAGACACCUGACUCAGAAACUGAACAUCCUGUAGAGCAGAGUAGAAUCUAACAAGUACACAGAAGUGUGGGCAGAAUCUAGCCCAUUCCACGGGAGGGAGCACAUGAUCUUGGAGAUGAAGAAAGACUUAGAGGAGGCAGCUUCCUAGCUGAGCCUGUCACUGGUUUCCAUCACAGUGCCCUGGCCUACAGCCCCUCAGUUCUGGUGGAUUCCACUUUUCACCCAGUGUCACCUAGGAGAUACAGUGAUGAUGACAAAGUUGGAUUCUUCUUUCUUGCUGCUACCUCCAGUGGCCAGGAGCAGUAGCAACAGCAGAGACAGUGCAGAUAUGAGCUUUCAGACACCCAUUGUCAUAAUCAGGAGUACUUGGGGCCAUAGGCAGAGGAAAGGCAAGGGGAAAAGCUUGAGGUUAGUUCCCAUCCAGAAAGACGUUCUAGAAACCCCAGGGAAGAGAAAAGGGAACAGAGAUCAUGUCACACAUGGCAGACAGACAGACUUCCAGUGCCAUGGCUAUAAUGGAAGCAAAUGAUGUGGGAGGAGUCUCAGGUGAAGAGUGAGCAGGUGACUUUUUUUUCUCCAUCCAGGAGGCUAUUGGAGAUUUUCCUUGUAAAUGGAGGACCUUUCUGUAGAAGGCUCUUGUUUGUCCCUUGCUGCUUGUGCCCCAAGAUGGGUUUGGAUAUACAGCUGGUAACACAGAAAGCAGCAGCCACCACUUACUUACCACCUACAGAAAUGAAAUUGCCACUUGAGGCUCAGCUAAGCACUAGAAUUUGCAAACCAUGAAGGCUAAACGUGCAGCUGGAGGAAGCAGAAGGAAAAUCAAAAACCACAGUUACAUCAGUGAGCUGCAGGGAUGGACUGCCAUGCCAUACUCCCAAUGUCACCAGCCAGCUGAGAGGUCCCUGGGCAGAGAUUGGUCCCAGGUCUCUCUAGCUAUCACCAUGGGCUUAGAUAGUAGAGAAAAAAAAAAAGACUUGUAGCCUGUGGGACCCACCAGCAUGGCCAGUGGACUCUUCUAUUCUAACACAGACUUAGAGCCAGGCAAAGACAGCCAUCAGUGAGGGCUCUGUACUGUGCCCCUGCAUCCACUCUCCAGUCACAAUGGAAGUACUCGUGCCAACCAGGAGUGUUACUUCCACCUGCAGUCAGAAACAGAAGGGGUUUACAGGGCCAGCAAGUACACUAAGGGAAAUUAAAAGGUCACUGUGUCCAUUCAGCAACACCUUCCUGAGUUUCCAGUGGCCUAUAGAAUCCUUGCUGUUCCAGAUGGCCAGUGAUGUCUAUUUUCUUAACCAGACUCUCAGGAUGGAGUAAUGUGGAUUCUAAGUCAAUAUGCAUGGUCCUCAGUUAUGUAGACACGUGUGGACGUCUAUACAUCUUUGGCAAUCUCCAUUUGGUGCUAUUUGUGGCUAACUGGAUGUGGAUGUAAUAGGCCUUCCCCACUCCUUCUCCUUCCCUCCCUCCCUCCCUUCCUUCUUAAUUAAUUAAAACCAAGUAACCAUGACACAUAGAUUUGCAUGCUCCCCCCUUUAAACAGGGGUUCGCUUCCAGUGUCUGAGGAUUUCCCUUUUAAAAUUUCAGUGAUCAGAAAUGUUUUUCUUUUCUAUUAGUCACUGGAAAGGAUGAUGUCAGGCUGUCAGGCUCCUGGCGCCUCUCUCUCGGCGAGCUGGGAUUGGAUGAUGUCCAUGGGAUGAGAUCUUUUGACUCAGAGGCUUUAAGGUCCUUGCUAAAUUUGAACAACCUGUCUGUGCCCCACCAUGGUGAGAUCAGAGCCGUAACAACACAAGAUUUAACUUCUUGAAACCCGUGGUGCCUUUUCUUGUGGUGCUUUUCCGUCAUGUAACUCCACUCAAGGUGGCCACUUGCAGCAAACAACAGUACCAGGACUUCUCUAUAGUCUUGUGUGUCAGUGUAGUCAGAGACGUGAGCGUAUACACGUGUCAGUCAACAUGGAUAGAGAUGUACCACUGUGGUUCUAUAAUUAUGUACUUGAGGUUCUGAUGCAGCUUUGGUGGGGGUUGAUCAUUCCUCUACAAGACUCUAAUGCUCCACUAGACCUUCUGGCUCUCUGCAGAGUAAUGAUCUUGGGGAUGGACGCUGACAGGUGAGAGGAGCUACCUGUCCUCCUGUCCCUGAGAUGAGCUCUCUUCCUUUGUGAAAGUUGCUGUCUCCGUGACACAGAACACUUGAUAAAGGAGCACAAGGCAGCUUCUUUUAAACUUCCUUUGGUGCUGAUAUU